rnacentral:lncRNA from 1 species
CUUGUAUGCUGAGUCCUUAUACUUUCGUACCUAGCCUGCGCACGGAAACAAACCGUACGCUGAGAAUACUCUCAGUGGUAUUUCUAUAAACAAUAGCUUAAUCAACUUUAAAACAUGGUAAUUCAAACACAUUAUUGCUAUUAUUCAAUAUCAAUCAGUACUUUAAUAAUCUUUACUUUAUUUACCCUUAUUAACAUAACUCGGACACUAACGGAUACACGGAUCCAACCCACACUCCGGGAUAAGCACAUAGUGCUUCAUCGGAACAAAUCCGGAACUUUAACAUUAUAGUACACAAAGUACUUCAUCGGAACAAAUCCGGAACUUUAACAGUAGUCGACACAUAGUGUCUCAUCGACUCAAUGUCGGAAUAUCCCAAUACUUCCAAUUCCUACGACAUGUCAACUAUAUCCGACUAGCCCGACACUAUUAAUAGG